rnacentral:tRNA from 1 species
CAAAAUAUAGCUUACCUUAAAGCAGUCAGCUUACACCUGAACGAUGUCCAAAUGGACUAUUUUGA